GUAGGUGGCAAGCGUUGUCCGGAAUUAUUGGGCGUAAAGCGCGCGCAGGUGGGUUCUUUAAGUCUGAUGUGAAAGCCCCCGGGCUCAACCGGGGAGGGUCAUUGGAAACUGGGGAACUUGAGUGCAGGAGAGGAAAGUGGAAUUCCACGUGUAGCGGUGAAAUGCGUAGAUAUGUGGAGGAACACCAGUGGCGAAGGCGACUUUCUGGCCUGUAACUGACACUGAGGCGCGAAAGCGUGGGGAGCAAACAGGAUAAGAUACCCUGGUAGUCCACGCCGUAAACGAUGAGUGCUAAGUGUUGGGGGGUUUCCGCCCCUCAGUGCUGCAGCUAACGCAUUAAGCACUCCGCCUGGGGAGUACGGUCGCAAGACUG
rnacentral:rRNA from 1 species